AUUGAACGCUGGCGGCAGGCCUAACACAUGCAAGUCGAGCGGAUGAAGGGAGCUUGCUCCUGGAUUCAGCGGCGGACGGGUGAGUAAUGCCUAGGAAUCUGCCUGGUAGUGGGGGAUAACGUCCGGAAACGGGCGCUAAUACCGCAUACGUCCUGAGGGAGAAAGUGGGGGAUCUUCGGACCUCACGCUAUCAGAUGAGCCUAGGUCGGAUUAGCUAGUUGGUGGGGUAAAGGCCUACCAAGGCGACGAUCCGUAACUGGUCUGAGAGGAUGAUCAGUCACACUGGAACUGGGACACGGUCCAGACUCCUACGGGAGGCAGCAGUGGGGAAUAUUGGACGAUGGGUGAAAGCCUGAUCCAGCCAUGCCGCGUGUGUGAAGAAGGUCUUCGGAUUGUAAAGCACUUUAAGUUGGGAGGAAGGGCAGUAAGUUAAUACCUUGCUGUUUUGACGUUACCAACAGAAUAAGCACCGGCUAACUUCGUG
rnacentral:rRNA from 1 species